UUGGAGGGCAAGUCUGGUGCCAGCAGCCGCGGUAAUUCCAGCUCCAAUAGCGUAUAUUAAAGUUGUUGCAGUUAAAAAGCCCGUAGUUGAAUUUCGGGGUUAGUAGGUUGGUCAUGCCUCUGGUAUGCACUGGUCUCACUGAUUCCUCCUUCCUGAUGAGCCGUAAUGCCAUUAAUUUGGUGUUGCGGGGAAUUUGGACUGUUACUUUGAAAAAAUUAGAGUGUUUAAAGCAAGCUAACGCUUGAAUACAUUAGCAUGGAAUAAUGAAAUAGGACGUUCGAUCCUAUUUUGUUGGUUUCUAGGAUUGACGUAAUGAUUAAUAGGGAUAGUUGGGGGCAUUAGUAUUCAAUUGUCAGAGGUGAAAUUCUUGGAUUUAUUGAAGACUAACUACUGCGAAAGCAUUUGCCAAGGAUGUUUUCAUUAAUCAAGAACGAAAGUUAGGGGAUCGAAGACGAUCAGAUACCGUCGUAGUCUUAACCAUAAACUAUGCCGACUAGGGAUCGGAUGAUGUUAAUUUUUUAAUGACUCAUUCGGCGCCUUACGGGAAAC
rnacentral:rRNA from 1 species